CAGCAGCCACGGGAAUACAGAGGGUGCGAGCGUUAAUCGGAUUUACUGGGCGUAAAGCGUGCGUAGGCGGCUUUUUAAGUCGGAUGUGAAAUUCCUGAGCUUAACUUAGGAAUUGCAUUCGAUACUGGGAAGCUAGAGUAUGGGAGAGGAUGGUAGAAUUCCAGGUGUAGCGGUGAAAUGCGUAGAGAUCUGGAGGAAUACCGAUGGCGAAGGCAGCCAUCUGGCCUAAUACUGACGCUGAGGUACGAAAGCAUGGGGAGCAAACAGGAUUAGAUACCCGUGUAGUCCCUGUCUCUUAUAC
rnacentral:rRNA from 1 species